UACGUAGGUCCCGAGCGUUGUCCGGAUUUAUUGGGCGUAAAGCGAGCGCAGGUGGUUUAUUAAGCCUGGUGUAAAAGGCAGUGGCUCAACCAUUGUAUGCAUUUGAAACUGUUUUUCUUGAGUGCUGGAGAGGCAAUCGGAAUUCCGUGUGUAGCGGUGAAAUGCGUAGAUAUACGGAGGAACACCAGUGGCGAAGGCGGAUUGCUGGACAGUAACUGACGCUGAGGCGCGAAAGCGUGGGGAGCAAACAGG
rnacentral:rRNA from 1 species